rnacentral:tmRNA from 1 species
GGGGGCGAUUCGGCUUCGACGCACAUUGCAAAACCGGAGGCGCAUGCCGAGCAGGUGGCUAAACUCGUUAAACUUGCCGCAAACCAAUAGUUGCCAACCAAGACAACUACGCAUUAGCGGCCUAAAAAACCGGCUAUGCCUUCCGCCCGGCGGUGCUUGUAACGCCGGAGCGGGAGUCAUUUUUACAAGCUCGCCGGACGGCUGGUUCGCGGCCUGCCGGUUAAACUCCUAAUGCGGACAGCCUGGCCGGAUUUUUUGUCCGUCAAAAGCGGCCAGGAUACGAAGACGGACUAAGCAUGUAGUGCCAAAGGCGGAGAAUGGGCGGACGCGGGUUCGAUUCCCGCCGCCUCCACCA